AGGAUAGAGGCGCAUCCGACAAGAGUAUGCUUCAGUAUGCAGGUGUCCGCAGCACUGAUGAGGCAGAAAGGGGAAGAUGCCGAAGCCGGCUAAGGCGAAAGGCUGGCUGGAGGUACGGAGAAUAUCUGUAUCGCUGUCGCAGAUGCGGAGAGCUAUAC
rnacentral:ncRNA from 1 species